rnacentral:misc_RNA from 2 species
AUAGACAACUAUUGUUAUUGACAGUUAUUUUAAACUAAAA